UGAGGAAUCUUGCACAAUGGGCGCAAGCCUGAUGCAGCAACGCCGCGUGGGGGAGGAAGCCUUUCGAGGUGUAAACCCCUUUUCGGGGGGAUGAGAACGGACAGUACCCCCGGAAUAAGCCACGGCUAACUCCGUGCCAGCAGCCGCGGUAAGACGGAGGUGGCAAGCGUUAUCCGGAAUUACUGGGCGUAAAGGGCCCGCAGGCGGUCAGGCAAGUCGGCUGUGAAAGCUCUGGCUCAACUGGGAGAGGUCAGUCGAAACUGCGUGGCUAGAGGAUCGGAGAGGGGUGCGGAAUUCCGGGUGUAGCGGUGAAAUGCGCAGAUAUCAGGAGGAACACCAAUGGCGAAGGCAGCACCCUAGCCGAUACCGGACGCUGAGGGGCGACAGCGUGGGUAGCGAUCG
rnacentral:rRNA from 1 species